CCUACGGGUGUCAGCAGUGGGGAAUAUUGCACACUGGGGGAAACCCUGAUGCAGCGACGCCGCGUGAGCGAUGAAGUAUUUCGGUAUGUAAAGCUCUAUCAGCAGGGAAGAAAAUGACGGUACCUGACUAAGAAGCCCCGGCUAACUACGUGCCAGGAGCCGCGGUAAUACGUCGGGGGCAAGGGUUAUUCGGAUUUACUGGGUGGAACGGGAACGUAGACGGCUUGGCAAGUCAGAUGUGAAAGGCUGGGGCUCAACCCGAGGAAUGCAUUUGGGACUGGCAUGGUAGAGUGUCGGAGGGGGAGGUUGAAUUCCCAGUGUAGCGGUGAAAUGCGGUGAGAUUUGGAGGAACACCGAGGGCGAAGGCGGGCCGGUGGAAGAUUACUGACGGUUAGGCCCGAAAGCGUGGGGAGCAAACAGGAUUAGAUACCCUUGUAGUC
rnacentral:rRNA from 1 species